CAUGAGAUAUUUUCUGUUAAUUAUUGUCUCCCCCACCCCUUUAAAAUAUGCCAUUGUGUUAUAAUAAGUCACUGUAUGUUGCCUGCUAUGAUUUGACUGUUUGUAAUUUUAUUGAGUUUUCACAGUAAUGUUAAUGUAAUGACCAUAUGGGCUAGUCCUAAGUAAAAUAAAGUUUUAGACAGUUCUUCUUGACCCUCAACACAUAGCCUUAUCUUGUGAUUGGAGGAGAC